UACGGAGGGAGCUAGCGUUGUUCGGAAUUACUGGGCGUAAAGCGCGCGUAGGCGGCUUUGCAAGUCGAGUGUGAAAUCCCCAGGCUUAACCUGGGAACUGCAUUCGAGACUGCAUAGCUAGAGUAUGGGAGAGGGAAGUGGAAUUUCAGGUGUAGCGGUGAAAUGCGUAGAUAUCUGAAGGAACAUCAGUGGCGAAAGCGACUUCCUGGACCAAUACUGACGCUCAUGUGCGAAAGCGUGGGGAGCAAACAGG
rnacentral:rRNA from 1 species